rnacentral:rRNA from 1 species
GACGAACGCUGGCGGCACGCUUAACACAUGCAAGUCGAACGAGAGAAGAGAAGCUUGCUUUUCUGAUCUAGUGGCGGACGGGUGAGUAACACGUGAGCAAUCUGCCUUUCAGAGGGGGAUACCGAUUGGAAACGAUCGUUAAUACCGCAUAACAUAAUUGAACCGCAUGAUUUGAUUAUCAAAGAUUUAUCGCUGAAAGAUGAGCUCGCGUCUGAUUAGCUAGUUGGUAAGGUAACGGCUUACCAAGGCGACGAUCAGUAGCCGGACUGAGAGGUUGAUCGGCCACAUUGGGACUGAGACACGGCCCAGACUCCUACGGGAGGCAGCAGUGGGGAAUAUUGCACAAUGGAGGAAACUCUGAUGCAGCGAUGCCGCGUGAGGGAAGAAGGUUUUAGGAUUGUAAACAUCUGUCUUCAGGGACGAAAAAAGACGGUACCUGAGGAGGAAGCUCCGGCUAACUACGUG